UGAAUUUUUUUUUUAAACGAAAACUCAAAAUUUUACCAUGAAUGAAAAUCACACACUAAAGAAGCUCGUCUUUGCUCGUAUAAGCAUCAUCAUUUUAUGGUAACAUCAUACAAAGAAGUCAUUACUGCAUAUCCUUCAAACUUAAGUAUGAUUUCAAUAAAGUCAUUGACAAAUGCCAACGGUUAAAGAGCAUACGAAAAUCUCAUAAGAAAAACUGGCAAAUCAUGUAUGACGUUUCAUAUUAAAAUUAAGGAGAGCAAGAGUAGAACUUACAUUGUCCUGAUCAGCAUCUCUGA
rnacentral:misc_RNA from 1 species